UAACCGUAAGGAGCCAGCGGCCGAAGGUGGGAUUGAUGAUUGGGGUGAAGUCGUAACAAGGUAGCCGUAGGAGAACCUGCGGCUGGAUCACCUCCUUUCUAGGGAG
rnacentral:rRNA from 2 species